UACAGAGGGGGCAAGCGUUAUUCGGAAUUAUUGGGCGUAAAGGGCGCGUAGGCGGCUUGGCAAGUGGAUGGUGAAAUCCCUCGGCUUAACCGAGGAACUGCCGUCCAAACUGCUUCGCUUGAGACCGGGAGAGGUGAGUGGAAUUCCCAGUGUAGCGGUGAAAUGCGUAGAUAUUGGGAGGAACACCAGUGGCGAAGGCGGCUCACUGGACCGGUACUGACGCUGAUGCGCGAAAGCCAGGGGGA
rnacentral:rRNA from 1 species